rnacentral:rRNA from 1 species
GUCCUACGGGAGGCAGCAGUGGGGAAUAUUGCACAAUGGGGGAAACCCUGAUGCAGCGACGCCGCGUGAGUGAAGAAGUAUUUCGGUAUGUAAAGCUCUAUCAGCAGGGAAGGAAUAGCGACCUUUGGAUCGCCAGACGGUACCUGACUAAGAAGCCCCGGCUAACUACGUGCCAGCAGCCGCGGUAAUACGUAGGGGGCAAGCGUUAUCCGGAUUUACUGGGUGUAAAGGGAGCGUAGACGGCAGCACAAGUCUGAAGUGAAAUGCCGGGGCUUAACCCCGGAACUGCUUUGGAAACUGUGCAG